UAGGGAAUUUUCCACAAUGGGCGAAAGCCUGAUGGAGCAACGCCGCGUGCAGGAUGAAGGUCUUCGGAUUGUAAACUGCUUUUAUAUGUGACGAAUUUGACGGUAGCAUAUGAAUAAGGAUCGGCUAACUCCGUGCCAGCAGCCGCGGUCAUACGGAGGAUCCAAGCGUUAUCCGGAAUUACUGGGCGUAAAGAGUUGCGUAGGUGGCAUUGUAAGUUGGUAGUGAAAUACUGGGGCUCAACCCCUUACACAUUAUCAAAACUGCAAAGCUAGAGGACAAGAGAGGUUAUUGGAAUUCCUAGUGUAGGAGUGAAAUCCGUAGAUAUUAGGAGGAACACCGAUGGCGUAGGCAGAUAACUGGCUUGUUCCUGACACUAAGGCACGAAAGCGUGGGUAGCAAACGGGAUUAGAUACCCCCGUAGUCC
rnacentral:rRNA from 1 species